rnacentral:tRNA from 1 species
UCCCAUGUGGCUCAGUUGGCAGAGCAUGGUGUUUGCAACGCCAGGGUUGUGGGUUCGAUUCCCACGGGGGAC